rnacentral:rRNA from 1 species
CCUACGGGUGGCAGCAGUGGGGAAUAUUGGGCAAUGGGCGCAAGCCUGACCCAGCAACGCCGCGUGAAGGAAGAAGGCUUUCGGGUUGUAAACUUCUUUUCUCAGGGACGAAGAAAGUGACGGUCCCUGCGGACUAAGCCACGGCUAACUACGUGCCAGCAGCCGCGGUAAUACGUAGGUGGCAAUCGUUAUCCGGAUUUAUUGGGUGUAAGGGGCGUGUAGGCGGGAGAGAAAGUCAGAGGUGAAAACUCAGGGCUCAACCCUGGGCCUGCAGUUGAAACUGUGGGUCUGGAGUGCUGGAGAGGCAAGCGGAAUGCCGGGUGUAGCGGUGAAAUGCGUAGAUAUACGGAGGAACACCAGUGGCGAAGGCGGAUUGCUGGACAGUAACUGACGCUGAGGCGCGAAAGCGUGGGGAGCAAACAGGAUUAGAUACCCCAGUAGUC